AGAAUAUUCCACUGCUCCUUAUUGCAGAUUGAAAGUCGAGAGAUUUCCUGUUGAUGAAAAAAUUGUUGCAAACUGAAAACGUCUUCAAUUGAUGCCUGUAAAAUACCACCAAGCUGACCAUGACUGACAACUGACACAUCACCUCCCCAUGACGUUUCUUAGUGACGUCGCACUGUCCCCAGGUCUCCGCAGUUGACUUGCUGUUCAAUCGUCAUAGAUGCAAGAUUCCCUUGAAGCUGAAGCCCCCCCUCUUCUCCAUCUUCCUCGCUGCCUUCCAUCCCUAAGGCGUCAGUCACUGACCCUCCAGAGAACUGAGACUGUCUCCCUGAAUGAGGCUGAGAUGCAAGAGAUGGCAGAUUGGUUCGACUUUUCUCUUGGUGUGUGAAAGCCAUCCUGCCGUCCCGCCUUCCCAACCUCCAACCACCCAAG